rnacentral:rRNA from 1 species
UACGAAGGGGGCGAGCGUUGUUCGGAAUUACUGGGCGUAAAGCGCGUGUAGGCUGCUCAGCAAGUCGGAUGUGAAAGCCCUCGGCUUAACUGAGGAAGUGCAUCCAAAACUGAGUAGCUAGAGUACGAAAGAGGGUCGCGGAAUUCCCGGUGUAGAGGUGAAAUUCGUAGAUAUCGGGAGGAACACCGGUGGCGAAGGCGGCGACCUGGGUCGAGACUGACGCUGAGGCGCGAAAGCGUGGGGAGCAAACAGG